GAGGGUAGGUCCCUCGCAAUCAACUUGCAGGAGUGGGUUGCAAACCCGUAUAUGCUGCUCUUUCUCCAUGGUCAGGGUAGUGAACGAUAUAUGAAAAGGCAAUGUAUAAAUUGUCAGG
rnacentral:ncRNA from 1 species